rnacentral:rRNA from 1 species
GACGAACGCUGGCGGCGUGCUUAACACAUGCAAGUCGAACGGAAAGGCCCUGCUUUUGUGGGGUGCUCGAGUGGCGAACGGGUGAGUAACACGUGAGUAACCUGCCCUUGACUUUGGGAUAACUUCAGGAAACUGGGGCUAAUACCGGAUAGGAGCUCCUGCUGCAUGGUGGGGGUUGGAAAGUUUCGGCGGUUGGGGAUGGACUCGCGGCAUAUCAGCUUGUUGGUGGGGUAGUGGCUUACCAAGGCUUUGACGGGUAGCCGGCCUGAGCGGGUGACCGGCCACAUUGGGACUGAGAUACGGCCCAGACUCCUACGGGAGGCAGCAGUGGGGAAUAUUGCACAAUGGGCGGAAGCCUGAUGCAGCAACGCCGCGUGCGGGAUGACGGCCUUCGGGUUGUAAACCGCUUUCGCCUGUGACGAAGCGUGAGUGACGGUAAUGGGUAAAGAAGCACCGGCUAACUACGUG